UACGGGGGGAGCAAGCGUUGUUCGGAUUUACUGGGCGUAAAGGGCGCGUAGGCGGUCAGCACAAGUCAGUUGUGAAAUCUCCGGGCUUAACUCGGAAAGGUCAACUGAUACUGUGCGACUAGAGUGCGGAAGGGGCAACUGGAAUUCUCGGUGUAGCGGUGAAAUGCGUAGAUAUCGAGAGGAACACCUGCGGCGAAGGCGGGUUGCUGGGCAGUGGCUGACGCUGAGGCGCGACAGCGUGGGGAGCAAACAGG
rnacentral:rRNA from 1 species